rnacentral:rRNA from 1 species
UACUCGAGUGGCGAACGGGUGAGUAACACGUGGGUGAUCUGCCCUGCACUUCGGGAUAAGCCUGGGAAACUGGGUCUAAUACCGGAUAGGAGCCAUUUUUAGUGUGAUGGUUGGAAAGUUUUUUCGGUGUAGGAUGAGCUCGCGGCCUAUCAGCUUGUUGGUGGGGUAAUGGCCUACCAAGGCGGCGACGGGUAGCCGGCCCGAGAGGGUGGACGGCCACAUUGGGACUGAGAUACGGCCCAG